rnacentral:rRNA from 1 species
AUAGAGCCUUCCCCUUCGGGGGACAAAGUGACAGGUGGUGCAUGGUUGUCGUCAGCUCGUGUCGUGAGAUGUUGGGUUAAGUCCCGCAACGAGCGCAACCCUUAAGCUUAGUUGCCAUCAUUAAGUUGGGCACUCUAAGUUGACUGCCGGUGACAAACCGGAGGAAGGUGGGGAUGACGUCAAAUCAUCAUGCCCCUUAUGAUUUGGGCUACACACGUGCUACAAUGGACAAUACAAAGGGCAGCGAAACCGCGAGGUCAAGCAAAUCCCAUAAAGUUGUUCUCAGUUCGGAU